GAGGUGCGGCAUGCUUACAAUGCAAGUCGAGUGCGCGGUUGUAGCAAUACAACUGGCGCACGGCGCACGGGUGCCUAUCACGUGGGCAAUCUGCCCUCCGAUGGGGAAUAACUCCGGCAAACCGAAGCUAAUUCCGCAUAACAUUCCCUGGACUCCGGUUCGGGGAUUCAAAGCAGCAAUGCGUCGGAGGAGGAGCCCGCGCCCGAUUAGCUAGUUGGUGAGGUAACGGCUCACCAAGGCAAUGAUCGGUAGCUGGUCUGAGAGGAUGGCCAGCCACACUGGAACUGAGACACGGUCCAGACUCCUACGGGAGGCAGCAGUGGGGAAUCUUGCGCAAUGGGCGAAAGCCUGACGCAGCGACGCCGCGUGGGGGAUGAAGCUUCUCGGAGUGUAAACCCCUUUCGACCGGGACGAAUGCCCGCAAGGGAGUGACGGUACCGGUAGAAGAAGCCCCGGCUAACUACGUGCCAGCAGCCGCGG
rnacentral:rRNA from 1 species